CAUGCCGUUUUCUUCUCCAAUUUUUCAAGAAUUUUCUUGUUUAUUUUUUGAGACAAAUUUGGGAAAGAAGAGACAACAAAAUGUUGGCCUCUGCAUUAGCACAAAAUUUGGGUCUGAUAUUAAUUUCUGUCAUCAGGAGAGCAAAAAGAUAAAAACUUUCAUCUGGGUACAAGUCAUAUUAGGGAUUUUUGACGUUAAUUGGUUCCAAGUUGAAUUUUUGAGGCUUGAUGUUGUUGUUGUUUGAACUUUCUGAGAAUGGUUCAUAUUUGGAUAGUAGUGCUGUUAAUAAAGUUUUCUUUGUCUCUGAAUUCUCAUUUCUAUAGUGGUCUUGUUGUUCAUCUCAUCCAUUAAUGUUUUCUGUCGAUGUUGAUGAUGAUUGUUUGAACUCAGAAAUGUUUCUACAAAUUACUAUAUACUGUAUACAGAUAAGAUUGUUAGUUGGGUUUUAACAUGUGAGCCAUCAAUAUAAGGAGACUUUGAGGACCUGAAAAAAUUCUAACCCAAAGCUAUAAGUUUUUGAAAACUGUUGUAGAUUCACUCAAUCAACAGCCAAAUAGCUAUAAUUUUUCAUUUUUCAUUACUGUUUAUUUCUUAGAUUGUUUUUUUUUCCAUAUGGUAAGUUCUUAUUGAGCUAUUUUGUGAUAGUAGCUGUUUGCUAGUUACUGUGUUGAUGUGGAUCUUGAUUUGGUAGUUUUUUGUUGGAAUCAUGGCUGUAAUUAAGGAUGAUUGUGUGUUUAAAUUGUGAAAUUUUAGUUUGGAUGAAAACUAGUGUGCCUCUGCCUAUAAGCUGUGACAAAGCCUCCAGUGUUUUCUUCAAAUUGGACUUGGAAACAGGAACUUAUUUUACAGAUACCAUGGUUGAGCAAGUUAAGAAAGGAAAUAGGAAAAACAUAACUUUUAAAGGGCAUUCUACUUUCACCAAUGUAAGGAACACGCUGUUUAACGAUCGGAUCCAGUUUUAAGUACUGCAAUAGCAUCAUCACCUGAUGUUUGAGACUAUAUGAAGGGACACAACUGCUAUAGACAAAGGUAUUUGCGAGGACUUGAGAUUAUCUCUGACUUGAGCUUCCUCCUUUGAUGAUGGCAUUCAUAAAUUGAAGGAAGAAUGAGGAGAUGAAGUAAAGAAUGAGGAGAUCAAGGUGAUCAUAGAUGCCAAAGAUAUCAUUCUCCCAGUAAAAGUGCCGGACGUUUGCGACAUCAAUCAAAGGCAUCAAUGGUUUGGACUUGCCUACCAUAUUUGAAGGCAUUUAAAAAUUUUGCAGAAACCAAAUGGUUGGAUAGUGUAGUAGUUUAUCUUCGUAUUUAGAUGUGCGACCAUUUUCAUCUAUGUUUUGUAGAUGAGGCUGUUUUAUAUGACAUGGUCUCAUCUCGUGGUGCAUAACAUGAAGCUUUUCUUGACAGACAUGAAACUAGAUUUUGCUACUGAAGAAUCUGAAGAACAAAGAACUUCCGGCUUCAGAAUUAUAUAUUGCAGCUGCUUGCUUCUAUAUAGAAAUGAGAACCAAAUUAAGAGGAGCUGAAUAUAUAUGUGUUGAGGGUGAUCGCUUUGCUGGGAUUUUUUUAUCUGAAUUCGCAACUUUUCUGAAAUUAAAAAAAUGCAGUUGAUAAUUGAAAACUAUGCUUCACUUAUUGAUGAGCGGGGAGUGAUUACGACAAAUGUAUAAGGUUUUGUUUUUUUA